CCCAAAUGGGGUCAGGAAGAGUCGGACACGACUGAAAAAUGACUGAACGAAAAGAUUCCUUCUGGCUCUAAAACUAGGAUCUUAGGAAGGUUAGCAUCAAAAGUGUCCUUGGUUGUUCCUCUAGGCCUCUGCCAGAUCUGCCGGUGUUUCAAGUCCCGAGUCUAGUGGUGUCAGUUGAGAAAGUCAGUGUAUUUCCUAAAUUAAAAACAGCAAUGACAACAACAGGUGAGGAGUGAUUUAAAAAUUGGAUGCCUGGUAUUUAAGCCUGAACUCUUCAUGGUUAUAUGAAGGUCAAGUCACAGCCAAAAGACAGUCCAUAUGGCCCCAAAAGUUCAUUGAGAAAGAGCUUUUAAAGGUGAGAUGAAAAAUGCAUCUGACAUUAAAAGAAACCUGCUUUUUUUUUUUAAUGAGAAACCUGACUUAAAAAAAGAUCUAAAUAAAAUAUACCUACUGCCCCUCUUUGCAGAGGUGGAGGUGGAGGGGUGUGGAAUAGUGCAUUUAGCAUCAACCAUGGUUGAGGUGUUGGUUCAUUUUGAACUGAUUUCUUUUUCCUCUUUUCUAAUUUCUAUUAUGAAGAAUGUCACAGUGGGAAAGACCAUAAGGAGGGACAGGUUGAGAAACAUGGGUGAUAGAAAAGCAAAAGAUACAGCUAGAAGCAAGAUGAUAGAAAUGACAAAGCUGCCCACACUGUAGGUCAGAGCUCCCACCUCCCUGCGUUCAUCUGUCCUUUGUCUUGAAGUGGCGGGUGACAUCUUGGGUAGAGCUCAGGGCUAGGAGUCAGGAACUAGGAGUCUAAGUCUUUCUUGGCUGGCUGUUAGCUAAAUGAGGAUUCGGGGAGAAGAUGUUCCUGGCUAGGCUUUCAUCAGCUAUAAUUCACUAGGCUUAUUAUCAGUUGCAGUCAGUGACAUGUGACCUGUUUCAGGAUAUAUGAUGUUAUUUAUUUUGGUACAUUUGUGCCUGCAUUGUUCACUGAAGAAAAGACAAUUUUUUUUCCUAGUAUUUCUUCAGUAACAACAACACUGCUCUUUGUAACUAGCAUGUUAGCCUUGGGUGGGUUGAAUGGUCUUUACAUGCAAAAAAACACCUCCCCCCUCCCCCCAAGUACCAAGACCCUACAAAAUCAGACAAUGAGAACAGCCCCCUUGUCACAGCAGUUUGUGAAUUCUGAUCAUGAACCGAAUUUGGGAAUGGCAUCUGAGUCCUACGUGCUCAGUGCUCAGGAAUGAGAAAGGUCCCUUCAUACUAAAGGGCGUUCCAAAUGUGGCCAUGGGUGAUGAAGAUCCUGUUACUGUCUGAUUUGUUAAUGGGAGACAGGAUGCAUGUCAUUUCUAAGUACAAGCUGUCAUCCACACUCAUGGUGGUUUGUCCUAUCUUUCCUCGGCCUUGGCAUCUGUCCUCUGUAGCAGUGGCUUCUGGUUCAGUCAGGCUCAAUUGACGUCGCUAGCAUGUGAAAGCCAAAUAUGACUUCUAGAAAGGAUUCCCUUGGAACCAGAACCAAAACUAGGAAUUUUUGCCCCUGGGGCAAACAUCUUGAAGUGAGGGUCCUCAUUUGAGAGGGACAGGGGAAGCAGAGCGUUGGGGACAUCAGGACACUUGGAGGGGUGGGAAAGACAACCUGUUUUUCACUAAUUCCUUCUAACACGCUGGUAGGCUUUGUAAUUUUUAUAGUGUUGAAAGAAUAUAAGACGUGUACUUUGCCUUGGGGCAAAGCUCUGGUCGUCCCAUUCUGGUUACACUGUGGUUGGAAUUAUUUAUUGUCAGGUGGCAAAAUCUUGCCAAAAGAAACCUGAUAAAUGGAUUGUAAGCUAUUUCUUGGAUCCACAAAGCAGAAUGAUGUUCUGUAAAUGACUGCCCUGGGGAUUGGUUUGGGAAGUAUUAAUGAUUUCUCCACGAUAGACGGUAUAAUGUCAUGUUCCUAGAACACAAUGUAAUUAUCUUAUUUUGUACACGUGAGCUUUUCUUGCACUGGUUUGAUGUUUCUCUGUUAGUACCAGGCUGGCUUUGUUAGUUAAUUCUCUAAUUGUUUCUGUACAUCAUUGAAAACUCAGAAUUGGGCCUGGAAAGUUGAUUCCAGUUGUCAGUUAAAUGAUGAGAUUAGCCAAUGUACAGUUAGCCAGAUACAAUGUGAAAUUAAGUCCAUGUGAAUUUGUUGAGUGUUGAUUUAAGAAAAGAAAAUUUGUGUUCUCUAAUAAAUGAACUUCCUGCAGAAUAAAAGCUUGGGUGAUACCAUUCCAUCCAUUAAUGUUCACUCUUGUCUUCUCUUGGGUUUAUAGAAAGUCAACUGAGUGGGGUGCAGGAAAGAGCAUUGCACUUGGAGUCUGAAGACCUGGAUUCAAAUCCUACCCUUGAUGACCUUGGGCAAGUCACUUCACUUGCCUGGGCCUCAGUUUCCUCAUCUAUAAGAAUGUAGGUGUUGGACUAGAGAGAUGGUCCUGUAUAAUAGAUUAGUAAAUAGAACAUUAGGCUUUGAUCAGAAAAAUCUGGAUUCGAGUUCUACUUUGGACACAUAACUGGCUGUGUGAUCCUAUCCUAUUCACCUGAUUCUUCCAAGCUUCAGAUUCCUCUUCUAUAAAAUAGAGAUUACCCUAAUCACUGUGGGGUCAUAGAAUUCCAUAGUUGAAAGGGACCUCAGAGGUUGUGAAGGUCUCCCUGCCCCUUAACCCUCUCCAGCUAGCAGUUCCCAAGUCAUGCUUCACAUCCCACCCCAGUCUCUUUACCAUCUGCUCAGCCCCAGUGCACCACCUCCUAUUCCCCCUGACUUUCCAGCCUGGAAACCACAAUUACAUCAGUAUUGCAUUGCUGCUGCUAACCAGCUCUGCUCGUCAUUCCUAUGACUUCCAGAUGCUUCCUGCACCAGCUAGCUCGCCCAGGAGAGUGGGAUCCUUGGAGAUUUGGAUGCCUGCCCUGGGACCCUGCUGUCCUGAUUGCUCUUGCCACUGUGCGCAUCUUUCCUUGGAACUGAACGUCAUGUUGUAAGAAAGGGAAGAUGGCCAAGUGGAUGGAUCACCCAUCUCGGAGUGAGGAAGAUACUUCAGACUGACUCACCGCUGUCACAUUUCACGCCCCUCCAGCCAACGUCACAUUCGCAGGAUCCGUCUCCAUCCAGCCCCUGGCUGCAUUGUCCAUGGACACAACUGCAUACUAAAGGAAAAAAGGAAAAAAGUUUGCUUCCUGAUUCAUUGACCUCCAGUCAAAGAGACCAAGGUGGGAGGAUUUAUUCUCUGGGAUCUUAGGACCUCUGGUGUGAGAAAUUCCUCCACAACUCCCAUGGCCAAGGAAUACGAACUGAGUCCUGAAAAAAUAGAGGACAGAGAGCUUUUCCAGGGUUCAGUAAUGUCCCUCCCCUUUGGCAAGCAAGGAGGGUGAAGCACGGAGAGGAAAGCAACAUUUGGAUGAAAGACACUUCGGGUCUGGCCAAGCUGCUGGAACAAAGCCCUCAACCUC